rnacentral:rRNA from 1 species
UCCGCCAGAGAACUACAAGUGAAAAACUUAAAACUCAAAGGACUUGGCGGUGCCCCACAUUCAGCCUAGAGGAGCCUGUCCUAUAAUCGAUACUCCCCGCUCCACCUAACCUCAACUAGCACUUUUACUCAGCCUAUAUACCGCCGUCGACAGCUUACCCCAUGAGGGAUAUAACAGUAGGCACAAUAGCCCCCACCCCUAACACGUCAGGUCAAGGUGUAGCUCAUGUUGAGGUAGAGAUUGGCUACAUUUUUUGUCUUAAAAAAAACGGAACGUUCAAUGAAAAACAACACGAAGGCGAAUUUAGUAGUAAAGCAGACAAGAGAAUCUGCCUUAACAAUGCUCUGGGACGCGCACACACC